rnacentral:rRNA from 1 species
UACGUAGGGGGCUAGCGUUGUCCGGAAUCAUUGGGCGUAAAGAGCGUGUAGGCGGCUUGGUAAGUCCGCUGUGAAAGUCCAGGGCUCAACCCUGGAAUGCCAGUGGAUACUGUCAAGCUAGAGUCCGGAAGAGGCGAGUGGAAUUCCUGGUGUAGCGGUGAAAUGCGCAGAUAUCAGGAGGAACACCAUGGCGAAGGCAGCUCGCUGGGACGGUACUGACGCUGAGACGCGAAAACGUGGGGAGCAAACAGG